rnacentral:rRNA from 1 species
UACGGGGGGCAGCAGUAGGGAAUCUUCCACAAUGGGCGCAAGCCUGAUGGAGCAACGCCGCGUGAGUGAAGACGGCCUUCGGGUUGUAAAGCUCUGUCUGUCGGGACGAGGACGCGCCCGGGAGGGCGCGGGGGACGGUACCGGCGGAGGAAGCCCCUGCAAACUACGUGCCAGCAGCCGCGGUAA